rnacentral:rRNA from 1 species
UACGUAGGGGGCAAGCGUUGUCCGGAUUUCUUGGGCGUAAAGAGCGUGUAGGCGGCCACACAGGUCUGCUGUGAAAACUCGAGGCUCAACCUCGAGCUGUCGGUGGAAACCGUGUGGCUAGAGUCCGGAAGAGGAGAGUGGAAUUCCCGGUGUAGCAGUGAAAUGCGUAGAUAUCGUGAGGAACACCAGAGGCGAAGGCGGCUACCUGGACAAUUGCUGACGCUCAGGCACGAAAGCGUGGGGAGCAAAAGGG